rnacentral:rRNA from 1 species
GAUGAACGCUGGCGGCGUGCCUAAUACAUGCAAGUCGAGCGAACAGACGAGGAGCUUGCUCCUCUUACGUUAGCGGCGGACGGGUGAGUAACACGUGGAUAACCUACCUAUAAGACUGGGAUAACUUCGGGAAACCGGAGCUAAUACCGGAUAAUAUAUUGAACCGCAUGGUUCAAUAGUGAAAGACGGUUUUGCUGUCAAUUAUAGAUGGAUCCGCGCCGCAUUAGCUAGUUGGUAAGGUAACGGCUUACCAAGGCAACGAUGCGUAGCCGACCUGAGAGGGUGAUCGGCCACACUGGAACUGAGACACGGUCCAGACUCCUACGGGAGGCAGCAGUAGGGAAUCUUCCGCAAUGGGCGAAAGCUUGACGGAGCAACGCCGCGUGAGUGAUGAAGGUCUUCGGGUCGUAAAACUCUGUUAUUAGGGAAGAACAAAUGUGUAAGUAACUAUGCACGUCUUGACGGUACCUAAUCAGAAAGCCACGGCUAACUACGUG